GCUGCACAGCCUGCAGAAGCCUUUGCUUGAAGCAUCUCAGAGCAGUCACCUGUCCCUGGUAGCAGGGAGAUUUCAGGAGGUGGGAUGAGCACUAAGUUGACUCCAGCACUCAGCUCUGCUGUUCCUUUUCUGACUGGCCUUGGCUUUAAAGGAAUUUGCUCUGGGGAAGGAGACAGCUGCUGCUCUGAUGAAGGAUUUUUCUGAGCAGGCCUCCCAAGCUAGAUAUGUCAGCGUGAGAUGCUGCCUACGAUUUUUUCAUUGUGACCAACAGGUUGUUAGACUGCAAUCAAAAGCAGUUGGUAGGAAUGGAGCUGUCCCUGUUGUGAGAUUUGAACUCCUGACAUCUUUAUCUACUGGAACUUGAGUGCCCAGGACGCACUAGAGAGG